rnacentral:lncRNA from 1 species
CAGCCCCGCUGCCGCCGCCGCCUCGCCGCGCUUGGGCCCGUGGCCGGCCGCGCAUUGUCCGCGGGUGCAAGGAGCCUGGCUGCGGACUCGGAUCGCCGCGGGCCCAACCCCGUAGCUGGCGGGCGGGGAGCUGUGCGCCGGGAGCGCCAGGGGACCCCAGAUUAGGAACAGGCACGCCGGCCGGAGACCGGGUGCCGGAGGCUCCCGGCUGGGCGCUCCGCGGGGCAAGGCUGGGAACCGCGGGCAGGCUCCAGGUUCUCUUUCCCGGCUUCGGGCGUCCUUGGGGCCGGCGCUUACUCGGCGCCACCAGCCUGGAGCUGCUUUCCAGCGGCUGGAAGCGGGAGCGGUCCCAGGCUGGGGCCGGGUGACCGGAGGAGUGGAGGAGCCGCGGCCACGGCCGGCCAGGCCUGGGAAGGCAGGGCGAAUGGGGGUUUGCGGGCGGAUCGGUGGAGGCAGAGGAACACCGGCGGGGUCCGGGAAGCCAGGAUCUGAGGGACUACGCGCAGGGACCCUCACCCAGGGAGGAGCGAGAAUGUGUGAAGUCUGGAGCAGGACUUCUGAGGCUUUCUAUCCUCCAUGCCGCUCACUAGAAAAGGGGCUGUGAACUGCCCCUUUCUCCAGAAAGAAAAUUUGUGACUGGCCAAACUCUGCCCAGGUCUCCUGACUGCAUCUGGCAUUCCUGCUUAUCCAUUCUUUCCCUCAUAGACGCACGUUGAGCCUGAUGCUAGGCCAGGACUGGAAGUGCACGGUGAGGAAUACAGAAUCCCUGCUCUCUGGAAACUCAGAGCUUAGUGGGAGGGACACACCUAGGAACAGAUAAUUCAGUGACACAGCCUGGAGUUCAUGGCUAAGGACUUUGGACUUUGUCUUGGAGAUAUAGUCCCAGGUAUUAGGGGAGCAGAAAGGAAGGAAUGACAGACACCCUGUGUGGGGCUCAGUGGCCCUGAGAGAAAAUCUAACAGAGCUGAGUCUCAGAGGAUGAGUAGGAUUCUGCUAGAUGAGAUCUAAACAAGUUUUUUUUUUUUUUUUUUUUUUGAGACGGAGUCUCGCUCUGUCGCCCAGGCUGGAGUGCAGUGGCCCGAUCUCGGCUCACUGCAAGCUCCGCCUCCCGGGUUCACGCCACUCUCCUGCCUCAGCCUCCCAAGUAGCUGGGACUAUAGGCGCCCGCCAUCACACCCAGCUAAUUUUUUUGUAUUUUUAGUAGAGAUGGGGUUUC